GAAAAUGAUAUUGAGUUACAUGCAGAGGUAUGCGUCUACUAUGCAUAUUACAUUUUCUAAAACUAAAGCUGAUUAUUUGCAAAAGAAAAUGAUCUCCAACAAAGUAAAGAGAUGUUGAAUGGCUAUAGCUAGGCCCCAUUAGCCACCUUGAUGAAGACAUCCUCUAAGGUGGUAUCAGACAAACCCCAAGCAAAAACUGGGAAUCUGCUUUUAGCAAUCUCAACUGCAUGAAAUACAUCUGCAAUUCUGACCUCAUUUUUUGGCAUCUCAAACUUCUGUGUUCCAGAUGUAUGGUAAGUCCGUUCAGCAUUGGGGGAGAGUUGUUGCACCAUCAUCACCACCUCUUGCUCAUGAUCCAAAGAUGUUGUCAUUGUAAACACAUAAGAACCACCAUAUCUACCCUUCAGCUCUUUUGGGUUUCCUAUGCACUGCAAGCUGCCAUCAACAAAAACUCCUAAUCGAUCACAUAAGGCUUCUGCCUCUUCCAUUGAAUGUGUGGUGAGAAUAAUUGCCCGGUCUUGCUUUGCACGCUUCACUACAUUCCACAGAUUGCUUCUCGAAGCUGGAUCUAAUCCAGUACUGGGUUCAUCCAUGUAGACAACUUUGGGAUCCCCAAUCAGUGAUAUUGCAACACUAAGCCUCCUCUUCAUACCUCCACUAUAUUUCCCAGCUUGUUUAUCAGCAACCCCACCAUUAAACAAGUUGACACUCCUGAGAGAUUCUUCCACUGCUUGGAUCAAGGCAGAACCUUUUAGGUUUUUAAGUCUGCCAUAAAAUAGCAAGUGUUCCCUUCCUGUCAAAGUUUCCCAAAGCAGGUCAUGCUGAGGGCACACGCCCAUACUGGUAUAAAUCCAAUCCAUAUGAGUCCGUAUGUCCAAACCCUGAACAUAAGCCGUCCCCGAUGUUGGCUUUGUGAGCCCAAUCAUCAUACUAAUAAAAGAGGUCUUCCCAGCACCAUUGGGACCGAGCAUACCAAAGCACUCUCCUGGAGGCAAAGCAAGAGAGAUCCCUCGUACUGCCAGUUUUUCAGGGUUUCCAUCCCUUCCUGGAUACACCUUUUGUAGGUUGUCACAGAUAAUUGCAUGAGUUGUGGUUGGCUCCAGCAGUAAAUGCUCAACCUUCUCUCUCUCCUGAAUGACAUCAGGUUUAUCCAUAUCAACAAAAACUUUAGAUCCCUGCCUUUGCAAACUAGGCUUCCGAAAAGAUGAUGGACGCUUCUUCCCAAAAUUUUGCAAGAAAAAUAGAGGACUUUUUCCACUUCCAGAGGAUAAAACUUGAUCCACAUAAUAUGCAACAAAAAGUAGCACUAACCACUCAACAAACAUGAUAAUCAAGACCUGUCUCAUUCCAUUUUUGCUAUCACUCAAAUUUCCCCAACGCAUCCCAUGUGUCCCCAUUGCAUUCCCUGUAAAAGUGUAUUGUGAAAACUCGUAUAAACCACGAUAUAGAGAGAAACCAGGAUAUAACUCCAACACAAUGAUCCAGCCUCUAGGAAAUGAUGAGUCUUCAACAAAGUUUGCGAAAAGGAAACCACCCAACAGCCCCGUUCCAAAGACGCCUAUGUAGCCUACAACUGCAGCCAUCAAAGUUCAACCACAUAAGAUAAGAAAACCAGCUAAUAUCUUCAAAAUGAAUAUUGACUGAAAAAUAUAUCAAAUAGCUAACAGAAAACCUGUAGCAGUCUUAACAUUGGAAAAGAAUGCAGCGACUAGAAAGGCCACGGAAAUUUGCAGGUUUAUAUAUAUAAAAUAAAACACAAUUUGAAUGCCGUAGUCAUUCAAUGUGAAGAAUUUCAACCCUGCAAUGUAACUGCAUUAGUAACUUGAAGCCAAGGCAAAAGAAGAAAGCACAAAUGACAUGAAUAUUACCUAUAACUGAGCCAAAUAUCACAAAAACCAACAUGUACAUCAAAGAUAUGGAAAGAAAAUAUGUAUAGGAAAUCAUCCAGUAAGGACCAUCACCAAGUCCAUGCAUUUUCAUCAUGAUUCUCAGUUUUUGUUGUUUCUCAUAUACCAAUGAUGUCAGCACCACAGGAAAUAGCUGUAGAAUAACCCAUGUAAAGAAGAGUGUGCCAAGAAGAGAUGCCAGAUCCACAUUGAUUUUGCUGGCAGCUUUAGGCAUUUCUUUGACAAACUCAAAUAGCAUUUUUGUACCAGGCCCUUGGAAAAACUGUAGGUAGGCAUUUGACACCAGAUUCACAAAGCGAGGAACUCGCAGAUAGUUAAAUUGGCCUUGAAUGUCACCCUCUUUAUAGGUUGAAUUGUACCAUAUGCUCACAUUAAAAUUAUUACCGUUGGAGUUUAAGAAAUCAUAGGCUGCAAGUAUCUCAUUAAUCUUCUCAUCAGAAUUCCCUUUACGGUAUCCUUUGAAUAGCUGUUCAUUUAUCUCAGAAGAACUAUUGCGCCACAACUUUAGAUCUUGAACACAUGCUGCCUCUUUUUGAAAUUCAAUGACUGACUGAACAGAAAUAGAUAAUGUGGAGUUUGAUGCACAUUGAUGCUGAACAUAAUAGAGAGUAGAAUUCUCAAUGAAAGCUGGAUCAAUAAAAUUAUCUCUUUUUGGCUCUGUAUCUGAACCCAGCGCAUUGUAGGCUAAACUGUCCAUAUAAUUGGAAGAAUUGAUAGUGAAAGAACUUGGGAACAUAUUCCCAGCCAAAUUUUCUCCAAGUGAUUGAUUAUUUCCAGUGAAGAGUAUAGUUACAGGACAGGACCCUGUACUCCUGCAUGAAUCAUUUGGCAAGUCUGUAAAUGGAAUAACUUCAGAUCUGACUGCACGAUACUGAGGAGCUGGAAUUUGUAAGAGAGGAGGCCAUUGCGGGGGGCUCGGAAUGGAACAGGUGGCAGCUUGAAAUGCAUCUGAGUAUUGCAAACCACAAACUUUCUCCAGUUGUCCAUUUCCAUUUAUAUCAACAUCUUUACAACCACACUUCCUACUAGCCUUGUUCAAUUCAUGGUCAAGCAAACUUUGAGUGAUAACAAGUAGUAUGCAGAGGAUAAAUGGAAAUAAAAUGAGCCUGCAAUUUGUCUUAGCAUUUCGUUUCUGAUAAGUUAAGUUCUUUCUAAGCAAAGCAUCAGCUUGAGUCCAGAAACUUGAAGGGCCAUGUGAUGUGUCCGCCAUGGAUGUGCUAAGCAAGGAUUUGAACGCACAGUAAUAUGCCCAGUUGAAUUGCAAAGUAAUGCACAGUUGAACUUUCCCGCAACAACGAGAGAGAGAGAGAGAGAGAG
rnacentral:misc_RNA from 1 species